UUUCAAGAUUACCUUGGCCAGUAUUCAGUUCACAUUUGUAUACCAAUUCCAGAUGUGCAAUCAACCUAAAAAUUUCGCAAAUCGGUAAAAUGAAUAGUAAAAACGAAUCCCUGAAGGAAGCUGUUUUUCGACUUUUUCCACCUUCAGGACCAUACAGCACAGAAGAGGAGGAAGCAAUUAAGGAAUUUUACAAUUUGGUGGACGACGACACAGAUUUACAAGAGUGGAAGAAAUAUGCUCCUGAAUCGGUUGUUAUUUUUUGCCUAAGAGUUUGCCAAUUAGAAGUGAGGGCUAUGUAUGAACUUGUCCGGUCUAUUUAUCGAGUUGCCAUGGUAAAUUUUCCAGAUUUAUUUGCACGCCUGAACCCCAAAGCCAUGCCAUCCAUUGCGGAUCGUGGCAUAUUUCAGAUUAUGAAAAGAAACAAGGAGGAUGAAGGACCGGCGGUACUUGUGCUUCGAAUAAACAGAUGGGAUCCUUCAAAAGCUAUCUUGGACGACGUAUUAUUUUUUACCUUUAUCCUUUACGUAUUUGCCGCAAGGCUCUCGCCAGAAAUGCAGCGGGCCGGAAUACUUUCAAUUGUUGAUAUGCGUGGGUUAAGAUUGGCACAUGUCCGACAUCUCAGUACUAUGGAUCUUGUCAAAAAGGCGGCCCUUAUUUCAUUAAAAGUUCCCAUCAAGUUAUCCACCAGGAUUGUUAAGGGAUGCGUACUUGUGAACAGUAAUGCUCUCGUUGUUCGUACUUUUCACGCCUUCAAAUGGCUAAUCCCAAAAAAGUUAAGGAAGAAAAUCGAACUAACUCAAUCGGAUAUGUCAUACAUAACAAAUUUGAAGGAUCCGUCCACCCUUCCGGUAGAGUUUGGUGGUGUCAUUGACGAUACAGAAGCAUACAUUGAAGACCUCGCCAAUAACUUAAUGUCCGAUAAAAAACUAGUGCCUGCCAUGCAGCAUCUGCAACAUGAAAUUCUACGACAUAAUGGAUAUUUGAAAAUUAAUUAGUAUUACAUAGUUGCUAAAAUUUAUGUCAAAAUAUAUUCUGUAUGCAAUUGUUUUUACUAGAAAUGAAUGUGAUAUUUCUUUUGACGUGUUAUAAAUAUUUUUUUAUUCUUGUACAUAUGUAUUUAGAUGCUUUGAUUAAAUUCCAUCUUGUGUUAUGCACAUGUAUAUACUUCAGAUAUGUGUGCAGUAGCAUGUAUUUAUAUAAGUUAACGGACGUGCAAAUAUGUAUAUCUAUCACACAUACUUACAUAAUGUAAGAAUCGUCAAUUUCCAAAUGACAUGUAAUGGAUUAAUUAUUUUCAACUGAUUUGUUUGGAUUUUGUAUGAAUUUUCAAUUCAUGAGGGGUUAUCUUUUCAUCCCCUUUACCCAUUAUGCAAAACAUUUGCAAUUACAUUGUACAAACCUAUUUUAAAUUCUGAGCACUAUAAAUAUGUCAAAUACAAUAUGGUACCUUGACAAACAUAUUUGCUAAAAUUUAAAUUAUGCUCCUAUACGUAAGCUUAGGUCAUAAUUCAUUAUAAUUCAUUCCUGAUUUAGUAAAUGUUGCCUAACUCAAUCAAGUAUAUAUGUCAAAUCCAGUUAUAAGUGUAUGUAUGUGAAAAGGUGUUAUUUGCGCAAUUUACUCAAUUUGGUAUUAUUAAUUUGUUCUAGCUAAUUAAUGAGGUCGGAAGUAUAUAUAAAUUUUUGGUUUAGUGUAAGGCAUAUGAUUGUAUGUAUCAUUAAAAAUUGUAAAAUGUUUGUCUUCGCGCAUAGAUUAUGAGUUAUUCAGUAAUUAGUAAUUUUCCCUUAUAAAAUUGGUAUAAAUCGGAAAAAUUUAUUAUCGGAAACAUAAUUUGAAAUUGACAUAUAUAAUAGAUAAUAAUGUCGUAGAUAAUAUAAAAAUAUAAAAACUUUGUAUUCGCGACCAGUUUUUGAAUUAUAAAGUAAUUUAGGUAAUUAAGAUAGCAUAAGGAAGUAUAGUAGCAAGUAACCCCAAACUGUGAGGAGCGAGUUAUGAGAGGUACUGCGUCGGGUAAGAGACAGAGGAGACGGCAUGGCUGACUCUGCGGGGAGAGGGGAAGGAGUCCGGAGGCACGGAAAGGGUGCUCCGGGAAUUAAUUGUUAGAAUUGGUAGGAAUUUUUGUGAAAAUUAGAAUUGUUUUGUGAAUUGAUUGAGAGUGUGAAUGUUCGUCAAUAAAUUGUGCUGAAGAUAAAGUCCUGAUUUGAGUAUAAGAGGGUUUAUUAUAAAGUUUGGAAUUGAGGACAAGCAGAUUAGUGUGAGAAGUAGUUAUCAUCCCCUUCAUCAAACUCGAACUGUAACACGGCACAGUCAACAUACGGCGACUUCUUGCAGACGGGUAGUUUGCAUGGAUAGUUUCCAGUGGGUGAGGUUACGCGAUCCCACAAUAUACAUAAACUAUUGCGGUCUGGUGGAAUGGAUAUGUACUAUGUACAUAUGCUCAAGCACAACAUAUAUAAAAAACUAUAUCUUUCAUCAGAUCUCAUAAUUAUUUAUGAUUUUCAUACUUUGCUUGUUUCCAAUUGGGAUUUCUAAGUAAUUGUGUAAAAAAAUCUUUCUUCAUUAAACGCAAUCGCUUCUGGAAUUAAUGACCAGUAAAACCAUAUCUAUUGUGGGAAACGAAUAAAUCGCAAAUGAGAUGUUUGUUUCUAUUAUACUCAUUGUUACCUACAUACAACAUUUUUAUAUCGCAGAGCUCAUGGAUUCUGUAGGUAUUGACCAAUAUACAAUUAAAUGUGUUUACUAUUUUGUAUGCAUAUAAGUUAAAAGUUCUUAACAAAUUGUAUGGGGAUUAACUAAAGAGGUGUUAUCUGAGUCGAAUAUCGGUUCUACAUACAUAUUUCACCAUACCAACUAAUGUUGGCAGGUCUGUGUAUAUACAUAUUUAUAUAUUUGAACGAACAUUUCUGUACAGAUUCCCAUUAUGUGUAAAUUUGCUUGCACGUAUACACUAUCUCACUAUCACAAUGGUAUACAUUGCAAUUUACAUUAACUUGAAUUAGUGUAGCACCUGAAUUUUUUAAAUCAUUUUCUCUAAAGAAAUAUGGAAACUUUAAGAACAUCUACGUCUAGUUGCUUGUGCAAUGUUAUGAAAAAACUAUUUGUAAUUAUUAUCACAAUAAUAGUCAUUUCAGUACCAAUCCCUGUGUUGUUUUUUCUACCUCGUUCGUCAAACGGUUGCCGUGCUCGGAAAUUUUUUACUUGGUCUUAAAAUGGUUCCAUGGUUCGACUCCUGCCUCGCUGGAGAAAACGUUUAUAGUACGAAAGCCCUCACAAUGUCGGUGACCUUUGUAACAGACAUUCCAUCUAUACAAAGGGAAGGAGUAAUGCAGAAGGUGCAGGAAAAUUUGCUAGAAAAACGAGAUAGUGAAGGAAAUUUGCAAUUUCCUGAAUUAAAGUGUUCCCUUCGUCCGUUCCUGGGAUAUUUAUUUUGGAAGCCUGUUGGAAAGUUUAAACUUGAGGAUCACGUGAUUAACUAUGAAGAUACAAAGCUUUCACCUCCGGAUUGGUCUGAUCCUGACGCCCUAAGAAAAAUAACAAGCGAGACGUUGAGAUGUCGCUGUUGGAAGAAAAGUGCACCAUUGUGGGAAAUCAUACUUUUAAAUAAUAUUCCCAAAUCACAUUUGCCAAAAAAUUCUGGCAACGGUUCACUCUUUAUUUGGCGAUUUCACCACGUCCUGAUGGAUGGUUAUGGAACAUUCAAGGUUUUGAUGCAAUUAUUUGGCAAGUUUGACAAAGUAGGGGAUUCAGCCGUUCCGUCGUCUGUGUCAAUAUAUGAUGAAAAAAUGACCUGGGGUAAACUUCAAUCAAUUAGCGUUGCACCAUUCAAACGUGCAGAGAUUUGGCUCCCGCUGAUUCGAUGUCCUUUAAAAAUUCCGCCAAUUUUUAAUGGCAAUGGGAACAAAAUACUUUCCCACGGAACAGUAAAAUUUCCCUUAGUUGACCUCAAAGCUAUCAGAAUGAAGCACAAUGUCGACCUAACAUCAAUUUUAGUUGCCAUCAUUUCUGGUGGGGUUCGACGAUUCCUGCUCAAAUAUGAUCAAGAUCUUCCCAAUAAAUUGGGAAUAAUGUGCCCCAUGCUGAUGCCAAAUCAUCCAGAUAAAUUAACAAAUUAUGUAAGUGGAGGAGUGUUUCUAUACCAUUGCGGGAAUCAAAUAAUAUCAACCGGAUGCGCGACAUAUCGGUUGCUUCUUUAACUCUCAGAAAUAAGGGCAUCAUACCACUGAAUCAUUUUAUUACAAAACUUCCCGGGUUGUUCCAACAGUUUGUGAUUUUGACAUACCGUAAUUUGUUUUCACUUCCUCCCCUCUUUUUGACAAACUUGGUUGGCCCCAUAGAAAAAUUGUCGUUUGAUGACAUCUCAAUUACGGAUAUUAAGGUGGGAGUUAAUAUCUGCCACAGGAUCUGCCACAGGAUGGGCCUCGAGGUUUUUGCUUCGCAUUUCUUACGUAUGAAGGACAAGGUAACAUAGCAGUUUCUGGAUUCAAUGAGUAUUUGGAAUCAAACCAGCAUGCCGAUGAACUUUUAGAAUAUUGCAUGAAAGAAAUGAAGGAGUUGGAGUUGUGUAAAGGAAACAUUGCCAAUUUAUUUAUUUGCUAAGUUGCAAAAUUGUGUGUUUCUUGUUUGCGAAUCUUACGUCGUUCAACUUUCUCGCACAUAUAUAGUUGGAGAACAAAUAUGUGAAUAAAGUUUUUUUUUUACUUUAGCAUGUCCACUGGAACAGAAAACUUAAGAGAAUAUGUAUACAAAUUG